UUGAGUAAAGUUGAGUUUUGUGUUUAUGUCCCCAUGAGUACGUGAGUACAUGUCUUUUAAAAUUUCAACAAAAGAGACAUAUGGAGAGUGCACCAAAUUUGAGAUAAUUCUCAUUUUUGUUGACACAGAACACCAGAGAGAUAUGCUUCUCAGGUUUUGAUUUCUGCUGCUUUGAUUGAGAUCUCAGAGCUGGCUCCUUGCACUGGUUCACAAGAGAAUUUUUGAGGUGAUACCUGGUUCUUUAUCUAAUCGCAGUUUCUCUCUCUAGUUUGUUGGAGACAUCUCAGCCUGUGCAAUACUCUUGCUUUAGUGAAAAGAGAGACCAACACCCGUUGUGCAGUGGAGAGAAGAAUUAGGGCCUUAUUUCGUAGAGGUUUUAGACGGUGGUUUUGGGAUCUGGAUACAAAUGGUAGUUAUGGGAUCAGAUAUUUGGUUUUUCAAAUGGCAGUUUUGGGUGUGAUUUCAAAAUGGCGGUUAUGGGUGUGGUUUGAACUGGUAGUUUUGAGAGUAGGUGGUUUGGGAAGAUGGCGGUUUUGGGCGUACGGUUCAGAUCAAGAUAACAAAGGUAGUUUCAAAUGGCGGUUUUGAGAGUUGGUGGUUUCGGCAGAUGGUCGUUUUGAGCAGACGGUUUCAGAUAUAGACGGCGGGCGGUAUUCAGAUACCAAUAUUCAGA
rnacentral:lncRNA from 1 species